CCAGGGGGCCGGGCAGCCGCGUCGUUAGCAAUAACGCCGAGGAAAGUCCGGGCUCCACGAAACAAGGGUGGCGGGUAACGCCCGCCGGCUUCCUUCGGGAAGUUAGGGAAAGUGCCACAGAGAGUAUACCGCCGGACAGGCGUUCUUCGGGACGCAUGACCCGGUAAGGGUGAAAGGGUGCGGUAAGAGCGCACCGCGCGGUUGGCAACAAUCGCGGCAUGGUAAACCCCACCCGGAGCAAGACCGAAUAGGGGCGGCGCGCUGCGCGGCAACGCAAGGCAGGUGUGUUUUGCACUUGAUCGCCCGGGUUGGUUGCUUGAGCGGCUUGGCAACAGGUCGCCUAGAUGAAUGGCUGCCAUUGCAGAUACGGUCCCGAAUGGGAUACCGUCUGUGAUACAGAACCCGGCUUACAGGCCCCCUGGCACC
rnacentral:RNase_P_RNA from 1 species